UAAAGAAUUUCGGUAUGGGAUGGGGAUGCGUUCCAUUAGUUAGUUGGCGGGGUAACGGCCCACCAAGACAACGAUGGAUAGGGGUUCUGAGAGGAAGGUCCCCCACAUUGGAACUGAGACACGGUCCAAACUCCUACGGGAGGCAGCAGUGAGGAAUAUUGGUCAAUGGACGAGAGUCUGAACCAGCCAAGUAGCGUGAAGGAUGACUGCCCUAUGGGUUGUAAACUUCUUUUAUAUGGGAAUAAAAUGUUCCACGUGUGGGAUUUUGUAUGUACCAUAUGAAUAAGGAUCGGCUAACUCCGUGCCAGCAGCCGCGGUAAUACGGAGGAUCCGAGCGUUAUCCGGAUUUAUUGGGUUUAAAGGGAGCGUAGGUGGAUUGUUAAGUCAGUUGUGAAAGUUUGCGGCUCAACCGUAAAAUUGCAGUUGAAACUGGCAGUCUUGAGUACAGUAGAGGUGGGCGGAAUUCGUGGUGUAGCGGUGAAAUGCUUAGAUAUCACGAAGAACUCCGAUUGCGAAGGCAGCUCACUGGACUGCAACUGACACUGAGGCUCGAAAGUGUGGGUAUCAAACAGGAUUAGAUACCCUGGUAGUCCACACAGUAAACGAUGAAUACUCGCUGUUUGCGAUAUACAGUAA
rnacentral:rRNA from 1 species